rnacentral:rRNA from 1 species
AUACGUAGGGAGCAAGCGUUGUCCGGAUUUACUGGGUGUAAAGGGUGCGUAGGCGGCACUGCAAGUCAGGCGUGAAAGGCGGAGGCUUAACCUCCGAGUGGCGUUUGAAACUGUGGUGCUUGAGUGAAGUAGCGGUAGGCGGAAUUCCCGGUGUAGCGGUGAAAUGCGUAGAGAUCGGGAGGAACACCAGUGGCGAAGGCGGCCUACUGGGCUUUAACUGACGCUGAGGCACGAAAGCAUGGGUAGCAAACAGGAUUAGAUACCCUGGUAGUCCAUGCUGUAAACGAUGAUGACUAGGUGUGGGGGGUCUGACCCCUUCCGUGCCGGAGUUAACACAAUAAGUAAUCCACCUGGGGAGUACGACCGCAAGGUUGAA